UCCUCACUCCUGUCAGUGAAAUGGUCC
rnacentral:piRNA from 1 species